rnacentral:tRNA from 2 species
GGAGGAUUAGCUCAGCUGGGAGAGCAUCUGCCUUACAAGCAGAGGGUCGCGGUUCGAGCCCGUCAUCCUCCA